CAGUCGCCGCGGUAAUACGUAGGGGGCAAGCGUUAUCCGGAAUAACUGGGCGUAAAGGGUGCGCAGGUGGUUUGACAAGUUAGUGGUGAAAGGCAUAGGCUCAACCAAUGUAAGCCAUUAAAACUGUUUAACUUGAGUGCAGGAGAGGAAAGUGGAAUUCCUAGUGUAGCGGUGAAAUGCGUAGAUAUUAGGAGGAACACCGAUGGCGAAGGCAGCCCCCUGGGCCAAUACUGACGCUCAUGCACGAAAGCGUGGGGAGCAAACAGGAUUAGAUACCCCGGUAGUCCCUGUCUCUUAUACA
rnacentral:rRNA from 1 species